GAGGGUAUAGCUCAGUGGUAGAGUGUGUGCUUAAUAUGCAUGAGGUCCAGGGUUCGAUUCCCAGUGCCGCUA
rnacentral:tRNA from 1 species